UAAACGACUCUCGGCAACGGAUAUCUCAGCUCUCGCAUCGAUGAAGAACGUAGCGAAAUGCGAUACUUGGUGUGAAUUGCAGAAUCCCGUGAACCAUCGAGUCUUUGAACGCAAGUUGCGCCCAAAGCCAUUAGGCCGAGGGCACGUCUGCCUGGGCGUCA
rnacentral:rRNA from 1 species